UUAGAUAUUAUGAAGCAGGUCGCCCUUUUGUUGUAAAUUAGGCCCUUCCCACGUUUUUGAAGGUUGAGGUUGCAAGGGGCCGUUUAUUGUUAGGCCUAAGUGUGAUCAUAGAUAAUACCGUAUGAUUGCCGACUCAUGAAUUCUCGACGUUAUGUUGCGAAACGCGUGAAACGGCGAGAAAGGGGGUUGAUCAUAAUACGGUAUUAUCUAUGGUGUGAUGUAACUGAAUCAUGUUCUUACCUACAUUUAGAUCAUUAAUUCCGAUCUAUAAAUAGUAUCAUUAACACAAAUGAGUGAUAGUUUCGAUGACGCGAAGAAUCUAAGAGAGCGUCUCAAUUCGUAUAUUGGGUGGACUUCAGCUAAAUGUUAUGUUGAAUUAUCACUGGCUGGAUAUAGGUACACAGGACAACUAGACCGAGUCAGGUGUGAUUACUGCAACAAGAAGGUGGUUCAAUGGACCGUCAAUGAUAACGCUCUCGAGGUCCACGCCAGAUUUGAUUCCGAUUGCAUCUUUUUAAAACAUAUUGGAUAUUCUCGAAACCUCCCCAUUCCUAGGUUUACACAUUUCUGUAAAUAUUCGGACAGGAUAGAAUCCGUGAGAACUGUUGACGAACAAUUCAGUCGUAACCUGCCUCCCCUGGAAAAAAUUGCAGAAGCCGGAUUCUUCUACCAGGGGACUUUAGAUCGAAUGGUUUGUUAUCAUUGUGGUUUGAUUUUAAGGGAUUGGGAACGCGAUACAGACCCAGUAGCGACACAUAAACGAUUCAAAUCCGAAUGUUUAUACAUAACACGAUUAAGCAACAUAUACGCAGGCCAAAAUAUACCACUUGUAAGGACGGAAGAACAACCGAGUAUGGCGGUGCUCUUGCAAAACGAGAGGUCGUGUACUUCAAGUAUCGGAAAAUUCAUUCAAGAAUGUGGAGGUAAUUGGCAUGAACCACUGAACCACACGAACCUUCCACCAACCUGACCAACGGUGUAGAUAAACACAGCAAUAGAUGACGUCAUCCUGGACUAUUGUUUUGGUGUGCAGUGAAUAUACCUACUUUAUGUUACAGUCACCUUGCACUGAUUUAUCAAAUAACUAGCCCUCAAAUUCAUUCAUUAACCAUUCAUUAACUUCAUACUCUCAUUAACUUCAUAGUCCCCAGGCCUGGAAAUAACGGUUUUAGUUGGCCGUUUUCGUUUUUCUUUUCACUUUGUGCAGUCUCUUUUAUAGACCAGUAAGAUAAUACACUAAAUAAGCUAUUGGACGUGUGUGUGUGGUGGUGGUGUUGGUGUGGGGGGGUAUCAGGUUUAUUAAUAUGUAUAUUUGUAUUGAUUGGUUUUUGGUGAAAUGUUUUUCAAGAUUAGUAUUUGGAGAUUUGUAUUUGAAAAUAUUUUGUUUGAGAUUUGUUUACCCAUUGGAAAAACUGAGUCUAUGUAUAGUGUAUUAAUCACGAGUUAUAGUCUUGUAUAACUUUUCUCAUGUCUAACUACUGUGAGCGAGAUCAAGUACGAGAAAUAAUUAUAAUAUCUUUACACUCAUGACCCGAUAAAUAUUGCGGGAUUUAAGGGCCAAAACUAAAUGUAUGUUGAAAGUGUUAUUAUACAUCAUAGAAAAUAUCUAAUACCUAAGAUUCAAAAUA